rnacentral:rRNA from 1 species
AGUGAACGCUGGCGGUAGGCCUAACACAUGCAAGUCGAACGGCAGCACAGUAAGAGCUUGCUCUUACGGGUGGCGAGUGGCGGACGUGUGAGGAAUACAUCGGAAUCUACUUUUUCGUGGGGGAUAACGUAGGUAAACUUACGCUAAUACCGCAUACGACCUACGGUUGAAAGCAGUGGAUCUUCGGACCUUGCGCGAUUGAAUGAGCCGAUGUCGGAUUAGCUAGUUGGCGGGGUAAAGGCCCACCAAGGCGACGAUCCGUAGCUGGUCUGAGAGGAUGAUCAGCCACACUGGAACUGAGACACGGUCCAGACUCCUACGGGAGACAGCAGUGGGGAAUAUUGGACAAUGGGCGCAAGCCUGAUCCAGCCAUACCGCGUGGGUGAAGAAGGCCUUCGGGUUGUAAAGCCCUUUUGUUGGGAAAGAAAAGCAGCAGGUUAAUACCCCGCUGUUCUGACGGUACCCAAAGAAUAAGCACCGGCUAACUUCGUG